UACAGAGGGUGCAAGCGUUGCUCGGAAUCAUUGGGCGUAAAGGGUAGGUAGGUGGUCUCAUUUGUCUAGGGUGAAAGCCUCGAGCUUAACUCGAGAAGUGCCCUAGAAACGGUGAGACUGGAGUCCUGGAGAGGGUCGUGGAAUUCCUGGUGUAGCGGUGAAAUGCGCAGAUAUCAGGAAGAACACCCGUGGCGAAGGCGGCUCUCUGGGACGGUACUGACGCUGAGACGCGAAAGCGUGGGGAGCAAACAGG
rnacentral:rRNA from 1 species